GCAGAUGGAGUUUAGUGGCAGAGUUCUUGCCUAGUCUGUAUGAGACCCUGGGUUCAAUUCCCAGCACAGCA
rnacentral:tRNA from 1 species